CUUUCUUUAUGCUGCCUGUUUCAUCUCAUGUUUAAGUCUGGAAAGUGGCAACUCUAUUGGAAUGACUGGAGAAACUCUACUUGAAGUCAAUAGACAAAAAGGACAGGUGAACUCAGCAUCAUGAUAUCACUGGUGAAGAUUUAAUGAAAAGAAUAAAAGGCAGGCAAUUUCUUUUUUCACAUGUCUCUGAUGCCAAGAAGAUGGAUAAAUAAUAGUAAGACAGGCAAUAAGGCAUUGCAAACAAUCAGAGGAGAUCCGCAAGCACUGAAGCAGCAGCCCACACAAAACUAAAGUUAUAAAAAUAAACCUUGCAUUUUCAGUUAAAAAAAAACCAGAGAGAAAAUAAGAAAAAAUUAUUAGAAAAGGAAAAGUAACUUUUCCCUCUUUCUCGGCAUCUUUGGAUAGGCACCAGAUGACUGUCCAUACUCCUCACUGUGCUCAUGUCUGUAUUCAUCAAUAUGGUUUUAUGGAUAUUUUCUGUCUUAUCCUUUUCAACAUUUCAAGAAGUUGUUAAGCCUGCUUUCUCUGAAGAUGAGUAGGAAGAAGCGGCUGUCAGAAAGGACUCUCUGAACUCCCUGCAGCAACCCUGCUUCACAUUCAGCCCACACACCAGGCCCAGCUCUAUCAGAGUUCUGGCUCAUUUUGUCAGGGCUGAUGCAUCUGCUCAGAACUUCCUUCCCGCUAAUGAGCCUCUCUUUAAUUGAUCUUCAGAGUACAUAUUUCUUCAGACCCGAUCAUCUACGAGCUAAAGAUGCUGUCAAUACUGUUGCAUGGCAAUUGCCAUUGCAGAGACAAGUCGCCUUGUACUAUCUUCGCUGAACCCUCUGCUCUUUACAUAUGCUGCUGAAAACAUGGCAACUGGAGAAGCUGUGAAACCUGCGGCAUGGCAUUUCCAAACCUCCACCAAGGAAAUAAACGGUAUUUUUCAUUUUUAUGUUAUGCUUGGUUACCUUUUCUGUUAUCUUGCCAGUGACUGAGGAAAAAUGUUCGCAGAAUCUGAGCAUGAGCCAUAAACAACUUUUGUGGUUAUCCAACGCCUCUGUGUUUGCUUUGCUAUUUAAUUAAGGAUUCAUGAAGGGUGUUUAUUGUUUGUAUCUGUUGCUGCUGUGAACAAUGUCUACUCUUCUGAUCACCACAAAUGCAGUUAUGUGUAUGCUUGUCAGUGACAUGUUUUGUCAUCUUACUGAGCAUACCCAGUUGCUGCAGGGGGAUCUGAUGCUGCAGCUUGGCGUGUCCCUGAAAUAGCCAGAUACCAUAAGGGCAGUUCCUCACCAGGUUGCCACUGUGAAAUGGAUACUAGCUGAAUGCUGAAACCAGUUUUUUGAUGUGUCUGAGAAUAUUUUUCUUAUUACAAAAUAUUUUCUUUUUCUUCUUUGAUAUGAUAUUAUUACAUAUUCUUAUUACAAAACAAGUUUUCACAAAACAUGUAAAAGAUCAUAUUUUAUACCGUGAUGAUCUCAAACACAUGUGUAGAGGGCAAAUUAACUAAAUCUCUAAGUAACAAGAAAAAUGCAUUGGCAGCAUCAUUAGCCAACCACUUUCCUAUUCCUCAAAUGCUUAGUUUUAGUGAAUGCAGUAGAUUUUGUUUCCAAGCACCUUAUAUCACAGUACUUACAAUUUUUUCAGUUUUGGCUUGUCCUAUUUAACUUUAGCCACAUUGGAAUGAUAAUCUGCAUCUUGUUAUAAGUAGUCAUUUUUGGUCAUCUAGAACCCAUCAACUAUACUAAUAUACUAAUGAAAGCAGCCACAUUGUGCCCAUUCUCAAUAAUGCAGCUUUGGAACUCUGCCAGUCAAGUAAAAAAAUUUUGUCUUUUUCCUUCUGCACUCGGACUGGAAGCAGUUAUUUUUACUCUUAAUCUACUUUUUUUUUUUCAUAAGAUGGUACAACACUAGGUACACAAUUAGCAAAUUGCUCACUCUGUUCUGCAGGUUUAAUAAGACAAGCUAUGGCUGCAACCAAAAUAAUCUAUUUGCUCACCUUUCUGUCUAUUCAAACCUAUGAAAAACAGCUGACUGAACUCUCUGGAAACCAGAAUUAAGAGGAUAAUCUUGUCCCCUACACAAUGUCCUACUUGCUGUCUCCUUGUAUCCCAAGAAACAAUAUGUGUACUUUACAAGAAGAUCGUUAAAGUGAUAGCAAUCACAACAUAAAUCCACAUUAGGGCAAUCAAGGUGCCCUUACCAAAGUAUGUCUAGAGGGGAUCAUCAAAAAAUUUUCCUUUGGGAGUAUGCUUUCAUUUGGCCCAAUGGGAGGAAUUUUACUGUUGGGCGGGUACUUUGAAUUCCACCUACCAUCAUGUUAAGAAUAAACAAUAAGCCUCAAACCAAUAUAAGUACGUCUUGUCUGUAUGGCAGCAGAGGCUGAUUACUCUGAGCAGAGUGUAGGUGGUCCCUGCAUGAUGGAAAUCUGACUGAGGGGCACCUGUUUAAAUGGGUAGGCUGCUGAUGAAGGUUUCUAGAUGCUGGAUGUGAGAUAACUUGAGCCAGCUUUUUUACAGUCAGCACUGACUCCAAAAAAUCAAUACGCAAUGCUUUCUUCUGCUUUAAUAAAACAUGUAUGUAAAGCUUGGAGACUAGAUUAUAUUUUCAAAGCCGUAAACUAUGCUGUCUGCUCACAAAUUACUUUGGAGAAACUUGUAAAGUAUCCUUUGAUCAUCUGUAGGCUCAAAUAAAAACAAAAAGGUUUCAAAUUGAAUUGUUGUCACUUGCAUGUCUAUCUAUACAGCUGCACCUUAACUUCUCUAGGAAACUCACAAAACAUGAAUUAUGCAUCUUAAAAUGCUACAAAGGCAUAAUAUAAGCUUAGCUGCUUGUCUGAAUUAUUCUGUUCAGACAUCUACGACUAUAUAGAGAGUCUGAAAAAAAGAUAUUAGGUCUGACAGUGUCAUACUAUCACCACAGACAUCAAAGGACUUUUUCUUACGCAAGAGUUGACAAAAUGUGUUUCUUCUAAUGAAUAAGAAUUGGGUAAAACAUGAGAUCAUAAAUGUUUCAUUAAAAUACAGUAAAAUUCUUCCAACCAUGAGCAAAGUGCUGGUUUAAUUAUUUUUUAAACUGAAAAUGAAUAAACCUAUGUGGAAUCUCCACAACAUAAACUGAAGAGUGAUGAUGGCACACUAUGCCAUUUUGUCAUCAAAAGAAAGUCUUAAUAUGUGAUUUAAUAACCCUCAAGAGCAGGCAUCUUUUAGUGCCUGUCAUUUCCCAAUUCAAGAGAGGAGGAAAUAAUUCUCUGUAUGUGCACACAGACCUCCUACAGACCCUCAAUGUAUAGGCUACUGUGAUUAAUCAAAAGUUUGAAAUUAAACUAAAAAAGGUCCUUUUCUUCAAUUAUGAUUAAACAUAAAAGCAAGCAGACUAUAUUUUUUAGUAGAAUGUCCAAGUCUCAAGAGUUACCAAGCAGUACUGAGAGUGUCCAGUUUUGCUUUGGAGGUUUUAAGGAAGGAAGGAAUGGAGGAAGGAAUAAAACAAAUAAUCCCAUCAGGCAAGGGGAUAGUAAACUGUAACUAAGUGGUGUUUCAUACACUGCCAUGACAAUCAAGUUAUUGAAAAGCAGUAACACAAAGAGAAGAUGGAAGAUUUAAUUUUUUCUUCACACAAGUAAAUUACUGAGGUCCCCUCUCUUCCCGUUUAAUUUUUUCUUCACACAAGUAAAUUACUGCAUCUUGUGAGGUCCCCUCUCUUCCCAUUCACUUCUGAAAGGAU
ensembl:lncRNA